GAUGAGCGCUGGCGGCGUGCCUAAUACAUGCAAGUCGAGCGAACGGACGAGAAGCUUGCUUUUCUGAUGUUAGCGGCGGACGGGUGAGUAACACGUGGAUAACCUACCUAUAAGACUGGGAUAACUUCGGGAAACCGGAGCUAAUACCGGAUAAUAUUUUGAACCGCAUGGUUCAAAAGUGAAAGACGGUCUUGCUGUCACCUAUAGAUGGAUCCGCGCUGCAUUAGCUAGUUGGUAAGGUAACGGCUUACCAAGGCAACGAUGCAUAGCCGACCUGAGAGGGUGAUCGGCCACACUGGAACUGAGACACGGUCCAGACUCCUACGGGAGGCAGCAGUAGGGAAUCUUCCGCAAUGGGCGAAAGCCUGACGGAGCAACGCCGCGUGAGUGAUGAAGGUCUUCGGAUCGUAAAACUCUGUUAUUAGGGAAGAACAUAUGUGUAAGUAACUGUGCACAUCUUGACGGUACCUAAUCAGAAAGCCACGGCUAACUACGUG
rnacentral:rRNA from 1 species